AUUGAACGCUGGCGGCAGGCCUAACACAUGCAAGUCGAGCGAGCGGCGGACGGGUGAGUAAUGUAUGGGGAUCUGCCCGACAUAGGGGGAUAACUACUGGAAACGGUGGCUACUACCGCAUACUAUCGUAUGAGCCCAUAUUGGAUUAGCUAGUAGGGGGGGUAAAGGCUCACCUAGGCGACGAUCUCUAGCUGGUCUGAGAGGAUGAUCGGCCACACUGGGACUGAGACACGGCCCAGACUCCUACGGGAGGCAGCAGUGGGGAAUAUUGCACAAUGGGCGAAAGCCUGAUGCAGCAAUGCCGCGUGUAUGAAGAAGGUCUUAGGGUUGUAAAGUACUUUCAGCGGGGAGGCGUUACCCGCAGAAGAAGCACCGGCUAACUACGUGCCAGCAGCCGCGGUAAUAC
rnacentral:rRNA from 1 species